rnacentral:rRNA from 1 species
AACUUUCAACAACGGAUCUCUUGGUUCUGGCAUCGAUGAAGAACGCAGCGAAAUGCGAUAAGUAGUGUGAAUUGCAGAAUUCAGUGAAUCAUCGAAUCUUUGAACGCACAUUGCGCCCUUUGGUAUUCCAAAGGGCAUGCCUGUUCGAGCGCAUUU